ACAAACUCCACCCUAUACCUCCCGUCAGAGCCUGGGUCUGCCCCAGGGCACAGAAGCAUCCAGAGGGAAAAACCCGUAAUGAUCUUAAAAGAUGAUGUGAAAUUUCCAGCCUCCUUUCUCUUCGCAAACGUUCACCGCAGCUCUCCAGGCUCGUGUCUGAGUUUCGCUCCGGCAGCUGGAGGACAGAGUCCAGGUUUCUGCUACACAGUCUGACCCUCGGCAGCAUCAGCAUCACCCGGGACUGUUAGAAAUGCAGACUCUCAGGCCCCACGCCGGCUGCCGGACAAGGUCUGCACUUUAGCCAGGGGUCCAAGUGCUUCCCAGGCAUGAAGUUUAAGGAGCUGGAGGGGCGGCUUCCCAUCUCCUCCCCCUACCCCCACGACUGGAGCAGCCUGGGGCUCUGCCUUCUAUUUUAGGUAAAAGAGCCCCACAUCACUGGCUCUCCGCGGGUGACGGGCCUCGCCUUCUGCAUCAGGGGCGACCUGGGUAGUAGGUGCUUCUCCAUUUCUCAGGGACAGCUCCACUCGUUUCUUCUUCUCCAUCCUUAAUACUUGGGUAUUUCAAAUGCUGAUGCUGUUGGCAAUCCCUGUUCUACUUUCAAAAGAUGAAUAAUUUGGCCCUGGAGGAAAAAGCAGUCUUCUGAAAUUAAGGGACGGCAGACGGCCUUGUCCACCGAAGAAACCCACCCAAACAGCCAUCCUGAAGCCAGAGAUGCUCCCUGCCUCCAAGGCCACAGCACAGGGCGUGAAGGUCACCAGUGAAGCUCAUGAUGAGCUCCAUUGCUUCCCCUGUGAAUUCCUCCUCAGAGCGCUCUGCAGGCUCCCGUGGAGCUUCUAACCCGUCAGUCGAGCUUCUAACCAGUCGGUGCAGACGUGCCUCUCUGCCCCGGGACUGCAGCAGCCUUGCUUUGCCUCAGCUUCCUCUGAAGGACAAUAAGAAUCCAAUGUGCCUGUAACACCAAGACCCUGGGCUCCGCCUCUUCGGUCCCCACUGGUGCAGUCUCCCAGCGCAUCAUCCUCGGCCCACCUGUGUGAGCAGACAGGUGCCAGGUGAGGACUGCCAGAGACCCGGGCAGGUGCCUCAGGGCUUCGCCUGCCCCAGAGAUCUGUUUUCUCUUGGGCCUUGUGGGCCGUGGGUAGUUGGGUGACAGAGGGCUUUGUGGGCCCUCCUCCUGCACACAGCACACCCAAGAGGCUAUGGUCACCUGGCCCCUGGGCAGAGCACACUCAGCUGGCAUGGACGAGGGCCCAUGGAACGGAAAUCAGCAGAGAGUUAGCCAUUGAUGAUUAAGUAGCUAGGAACUAAAGUUUUUUCCUUUUUGCAAUUACUGAUUAUAGCUUUUAGCUGUUUAACCUGCCCAUUGUUAACUGUGCUACUUAAGCAAUAUGCUAUCUGACUCCCACUAGGCUCCUACAGAUAGCAUCUCCCUGGAGCCUGGGUCUCCAUGGUAAUGGGUGUGUGAGCCAGUUUUCAGGAAUUAGAACUCCUUGUUCACUUCAGGCAGGUGGAGACCACCAACUCAUCAACCAACUCAUCAACCGGGCCCAUGCAGAUGUCUGAUAAGUGACCUGCUGUCAAGCGGCUAAAACCUCCACCCUCAGAUCAUGCUAACGCUGCCAUUUUGUGAACAUGGGUCCCAUGAAGAAGCAUGAAGUCUGACUACUCUUGGACAGACCAUCAAUCACCUAACCUCUCCUCACCUCCCCUCACCUCCAAUCUCCUCUCUCCACAAUUCAGGCCACCUUGCCCCCCAUCCCAUAAAUAUCCCUGAGUGGCUAGUUUCUGGGAAGCAAAUUUGAGGCUCAUGCUCUUGCUUCCUUGCGUGGUUGCCUUGUGAGUAAACUCUCUCUCUGCUGCAAUCUCGUUGUCUCAGUGUUUGGCUUUCUGGGCGGCGGGCAAAAACGAACCUGGUUCAGUAACAGAACUUCCAGGAGAUGGGUGUGCUGGUACCCAGU
rnacentral:lncRNA from 1 species